rnacentral:misc_RNA from 1 species
AAGUCGUAACAAGGUUUCCGUAGGUGAACCUGCGGAAGGAUCAUAACACGUAUCCAAACGUUAAAACACCCUGUGAACCUUCAGCGUGUUCUUGCAGGACAUCAAAACAGCAAUCCCGAGUAAAUCAGGCGCUAAAGAAUGACAGAUUUUGAUUUUGGGAAGUUCUGUGUGUACGUGGACGCUGCAAUUGAGCGCUAGAUAAAGCACUAGAGCACUCCCCUGUCUGAAAGCGGCAGGGAUCAAUGUUCAGGGUGGCGCAGUCAACGAUCGCUGUAGGUCCAACCGGCGACCGGGAUAAAGGCAAAAACCCCUCCGGGACUUGGCGAAAGCUGACUCCGUCAUAAAUCGAACAACUGUUAACAAUGGAUAUCUUGGUUCUC